UCCCAGUUAGUACAAUGGUUAGUAUAGGGCACUCUCAUGGUUGAACGACUCGUUCGUCUUUGAUUGAACUGCUCAGAUCAGGGUUCGAUUCCCUGGCCGGGAA
rnacentral:tRNA from 1 species